rnacentral:lncRNA from 1 species
CGGUCAGCCCGACGGGACUUUACGGGCUUUUCAUGUGGGGCGGCGUGGCGGCCCAGCAGAAUGUCCCGCGCCGCUUACAACCUUACCAACCCCACACGUGGCCAGCUGUCGGCGACCAGGCCAGCCCUCCUGUAGCCCGCCUCGCUGAGGACCUCGCCGAACCACAGCCCAGCACGGCAAGCACCACCUCCAGGUCCCUGCUUCUUACCCUCCUUCCUCUGUUUCUCACACUUGUUUUCUUUCUUCUCCCCUCUCAUGUUCCUCUCUAUUUGUCUGUGUCCAUCCGGUGGGUCACCGAGCUCUGACGCCAGAUCCGCCAUGGAACCGAGUCGCCAUUAAGCUUAUGCGAGGCAACGCUCCUCCUCCGUUCCGGCAAGGAACCAGCGUCCGCCGCUUCGCCCCGCAAGCUCCAUCUCGGAUCCAUUCGUUGCCGAUGCAAUCUGCUCCGCCCCGCAUACGGUCCUGCGCCACCCAGGCCGCCAGGACCUCGCCCCGUCAUAACACCGGCUUGGCCCCACCGACGUCUGCCUUCGUCACGCCACCAAGCUGCCGCACCGGAGCUCCACUAUCAGCCCCGAGCCUCCCUCAAGCCGCACUCGCAGUUUCAUGCCUCCCACGUUCCACGGCAGUGGCCUCCUCUGCAUCUUCUCGCUAGCCUCCGUGUUCCCCCGUAACUGAACUUCAGCAUUUUUUUCCUAGAUCCGUUCUGGAAUAUAGAUCUUAAUUAGGAUUUCCUCUACUUAUCCACUAGAGCUUUGUAGCCCAACUUGUCAGUGAGCAGCGCUAGAACUAGGAGGUCAUGGGUUAGAGACCCAGGCGCCACAAUAUUCUGCUAUUUCGAAAUUUGACAUACGGGGCCCUUUAGGGAUGCAAUACGUUGUUUCCAACCUCAUUUAAAAUGUCUACAUAGUGUAAUUUAUUUAUGCAUUACCUCUUAUCAUAUUUAACAACAUUUAAUAUUGUUGUGUAUCUAAAUAAGAGUGAACUAAAUAUUCGAACGUGGAGUUUCGUCAAUAUGCAACUCGCUGAAUAUUAAGAUACAUGUGAUUUAAGGCAAUAAUUUAUCAUUUGACAAAAAUACAUUAAUACUCAGGCAUCCCAACAAUCAAUCGUGUCUUUUAAAAAAUCA